UACGUAGGUGGCAAGCGUUGUCCGGAUUUACUGGGCGUAAAGGGCGUGCAGGCGGUCUGUUAAGUUCAGGGUGAAAGCUCCCGGCUCAACUGGGAGAGGUCCUUGGAUACUGGCAGACUUGAGGGAGGUAGAGGAGAGUGGAAUUCCCGGUGUAGUGGUGAUAUGCGUAGAUAUCGGGAGGAACACCAGUGGCGAAGGCGGCUCUCUGGGCCUUUCCUGACGCUGAGACGCGAAAGCGUGGGGAGCGAACAGG
rnacentral:rRNA from 1 species